rnacentral:lncRNA from 1 species
AUGGCCUCCUCUGGACCAGCAACUCCAGUCUGCAAUUCCUGCAACUCAGGUUUGUCAUCUGAAGGCCAUUGCUGGCCCAGCACAUUAAAUUUUGCCAUUUUGCAUGCUCUGUGUUCCAGCUGCGACCUCCUACACCAAUUUGUACAACGUGUUAAACUUCCCUGCCGGGGUGGUGCCGGUCAGCACGGCGACGAGAGCCGACGAAGAAGAACUGAAGCACUACCGAGGGCACUACAGAGACCCCUGGGACCAGAGGCUGAAGGAGGCUGUGGCAGGAGGCGUGGGGCUGCCCGUGGCCGUGCAGUGCAUGGCCUUGCCAUGGCAGGAGGAGCUGUGCCUGCGCCUCAUGAAGGAGGUGGAGGCUCUUGCCCAUGGCACGAAGACAAACCUGUGAUUUCUGGCAGCCAGCCUCCAAUGGGAUGGCUUUUCAUUCCCUGCCCUUCACUCCAGCUGCCUUCUACUUGAUAUGAAGCAAAGUACAUAGUGAGUUGAGAACUCUGAGCUAAUAUUUUAAUAAAGUGGCACUAAAUUCAGUUUAAAAAUAGUCA